rnacentral:rRNA from 1 species
AGUGAACGCUGGCGGUAGGCCUAACACAUGCAAGUCGAGCGGCAGCACAGUAAGAGCUUGCUCUUACGGGUGGCGAGUGGCGGACGGGUGAGGAAUACAUCGGAAUCUACUUUUUCGUGGGGGAUAACGUAGGGAAACUUACGCUAAUACCGCAUACGACCUACGGGUGAAAGCAGGGGAUCUUCGGACCUUGCGCGAUUGAAUGAGCCGAUGUCGGAUUAGCUAGUUGGCGGGGUAAAGGCCCACCAAGGCGACGAUCCGUAGCUGGUCUGAGAGGAUGAUCAGCCACACUGGAACUGAGACACGGUCCAGACUCCUACGGGAGGCAGCAGUGGGGAAUAUUGGACAAUGGGCGCAAGCCUGAUCCAGCCAUACCGCGUGGGUGAAGAAGGCCUUCGGGUUGUAAAGCCCUUUUGUUGGGAAAGAAAAGCAGCAGGUUAAUACCACGCUGUUCUGACGGUACCCAAAGAAUAAGCACCGGCUAACUUCGUG